GGCUUCGUCUUCAUCGUCAUUCGUCAUUUGUUUGUAUCUGAAAGAAGGGGUAUACCCGGAGCUCCAUCUGUAUCUGAUUUUCAAACAUAUUUAACACAAUCAGGUCUUGAUGUCACGUCUUCCUCAGCAUUUCUUCAAGAAAGUAAGACAUCAAAGAGGAAGACGGUGAUUAUAUUGAAAGGGUUCCGUGGCACCAGCCGAACCUAAUGGCUGAAGAUGCUUUAAACAGCAAUAAGUCUACACAGCCAUCUGUUAGACUCUAAACAUUGCCUUACAUUGGAAUGAAACCGAAUUCUUUAUAAAAUGGAAGGGGCAGCUGUAUUUACACUGCCAGUGGAAAUCAUUUUCAGAUCUUCAAAAUCUUAGUGGGUUCAAAAAGGUCGUGAACUACACCAAAAGAGUGAUGGAGGAAAGGAGAUGUAGAAUGACCCUGUCUCGAGAAGUGGUUGAGGUCCAUGAUGUGGGCAAGGAAAUGGAGUUAGAUUAUAGCAAGCAAUAUAGUCAGGUUGAACGGAUAUUUGUUGAUGUGAUCAAGGUGGUUCAGAUGACAUGACUCCAGAAAGGGACAUAGAUAUUGCAUUUGCUCAGGAUGUUAUUGAUGAGUACAAGGCCAGGGAGGCUGUGAUGACCCCCCAAGGAAAAAUGGUGGACUUCUAGCAGAAAAAAAGCAGAGAAUGCCUAACAAAUUCAUGGCUCAUUUCUUGCCGUUGCACCAUUGUCAACUAUGUCCAACUGGGCAAAAGAUUCUAAGAAGUGGCUUCCUGAAAUGAACAUUGUUGUAUACAUUGGAAAUCGUUCUAGUCGAGUGGUGAGACAUGUUAUGCACGUUUACAAUGGGAUGGUUGGGUUUCCAAUGCAUCAAUCUGAUUAUGUUAAGAAGCUUAGCUCUGCCUGGAGCAUAUUUCUUUCACACUGGGCCUUGCUUCAUUGCCUUGACCCUGUGAAGUUCAAGCAAAGGAUGACUUUUCUGAGAAGAACAAGAACCCGAGCUGUUUUAAUGAACUUGAGCUUGCAAAUCUGCAUAAGGAACUGAGGCGGCACAUUCUGCAAAGAGUUAUUAAGGAUGUUGAGAAGUCCUUGUCUCCGAAAUUUGAACGUGAACAGAGGAGUGGGAAUCAGGCAAAAGUUCCUGACAUUGAGAAGUUUUUGGAUAAAGUUGCUACUUUGCAAGCUAAGAAGGGUACUGACGAGGGACUAAUUAGCCGAUUUCAAAGUUUCGGAAGGCAUAAUUUCACGGGUCCACAUCGAGGAGUCAGACUCCACAUGUCUAUGGUUGAGAGCAGAUGUCGUGCUGGAAUACACAAGUUAAGAGGCCCAGUGCUCUUGUACAAGAGAACCUUGAUAAUGCUAACACUAGCAUAGAGGUCCUUAUUGCUGAUCUACAAUUCUUAAGGGACCAAGUGACGAUAAUACAGGUCACUGUCACUCGGGUAUACAGCUGGGAUGUUCACCGGCGCAGAAUGAAGCAAGUUACUGCAACUGCUGUGACAGACUUGCAAAGGCUUUCUAUUAUCGCAUGGCUUUUUCUUAGUUACCCUAGUCAGGAGCACAACAGCCAUGUGGUGAUGUCAUACUACUUAGCUGUUGGCACGUAUUAUUGAUAGAUGAGUAGCAGUAUUCUAACGGUGUUCGGAUGCCAACUAUGAUCAAUUUUCAGGGAAUGGACCGUAUACCAUUAUUUUUACACGUCCUUGUAAACUGGUUAGGGAAUACAAGUUAUCUUAUUUACCUAUGCACAUAUGCAAGUCCUUUGCUAAUAGGAAGAUGGGUACUUUUCUCUUUCUCAGGGGGUCUCCUGCAUUUGGGGGUCCUGGUUUUGGUCUCCAACUUCUGAUGCAAAUGCACACCGCUUCAGUGUGUGGCCCCAUGGGAGGAUUUGGUGGUCCUUAAAAUGGUUCUUUUCCAGCACUUGCACCUUUUCAGUCUCCAAUCCCUCAACAGAACAUGCCUGUAUCGUCUCGCACAUACAUCAACACAGCAAGGCCAGUUACAGACUUCCAAUUUUUCGAUUUGACCCUCCCUUAAGCAGGCAUUUCCAUUGCAGCUUUCAUCUGGCUCAGUAGGUCAAGUGCCAGUUUCCCAGCCUCAGGUCCAGCAGACUGCCUCUGUUGCUCCACAGCUGAUGCCUCCAAAUUUGCAACAAGGUGUCUUUGGGCCUUUGUGGUUUUCAUCAGCAGCAGCAACAAUUGCAUCAGCCUCCACAUCAGUCGCCUUGUCAGCUAGCACAGGUCCUGUUUCAACAAAUGUUUACAACUAGCUUUCCGUCAUCACAACAAGCAAUAUCUCAGCUACAGCAAAAGCUGCAUGUGGUGUGUUUAAAGUGUGAAUUUAAGCAUUGCUGCCGGUCGAGUUUUAAGUGUGAAUUUAAAGCAAGAUUUAUUUUGUUGUUUAAAACCGAAAACAGUCUGAUCGAUUAGAAAUGAAGUAACAGUUUGUCACUUGAUCUAGGUCUUGACAUGUUAGACGGAUACAACAGUUAAACUAUCAUGAAAAGCAGUUCGAUGUCCAUUUUAAUGGCAAUUGUGAAAACUCUUAA